ensembl:lncRNA novel transcript
AAGAAGUGAGAAUGCUGGACAUAUGGGUCUUCCAUUCAAAAGUUUCCUGAAAGUGACACAUGGAUUUUCUUUGACGAUACCUGGCCUGGAAGUGGAGAGGUGACUUCAGCAAGAAAAAUUCUAGCAACCCACCUAUGUUCUGUGUGUCUGCAUUACACAAUGGACUUUCAGAGAUAAUUUCAAAGUUAUCUCAAAAGUUCUGAGACUACUGAAUAUUUGGAAAAUGCACUGGACUAAAUGAUCACUAAAGUCUCUCCUAUCCUGUUCAGUGAAGGUUCAGCCAAAGAAGUAGACCUAGUAGGAGAUAUAUUUUACAAUAUUUACUGCAAGGUAUUGGCUUACACAAUGAGGGUGGCUGGUUAUGCAUGUCUAAAAUUUGUAUGACAGGCCUUCAGGAAGAACAGGCUGGAAUGACGGCUGGGUAUGAGCUGAAGCUGCUGUUCACAGAUAGAAUGUCUUCAUUAAGCCUCAGUUCUGCUCCUGAAGCCUGUCAACUGAUUGGAUCAGGUCCAACUAGAUUAUUUAGGAUAAUCUUCCUUACUGAAAGUCAACUGAUUAUGGAUUUCAAUCACUUCUACAAAAUACCUUCCUGGCAAAACCUAUAUUAGAGUUUGAUUAAAUAACUAGAGCCUAGUCAAGUUAACACAUAAAUGGCCAUCACACCAGCUUGUCUCACUUUAUAUAUAUUUAGUACA